AGGGCGGGCGAGUGGAACUCAUGGAAGCGGUAGUGCUCCUCCAGCGGCAGCAGCUUGCGCAGUGCCCCUCUGGAGGUUAAUUGUGCCUGCUGCUCUUCUGCGCUAAAACCUCAGCCCCUUGCGAUGAAAUCCGGAAACGCUUUGACAGCUCCGAUCUGAACGUAGAAUCGCACAAAUGCUUUUCGUGUUUUUCUGAUGAUGGUUGCUGUCUUUGGAUGCAAAAGAAAUGUGUGACUAAGCGCCGUGGUGUUUAGCUACGACAUCGGGCAACUGCUUUAAGCAUAGUGAAAAAUCUUAGUAUAAAAUGGAAAUCUUUCUGUGAGACGUGUGUGGAAGAUACGGCCAUUAGUUCUAACCUUAGGUCCUGUUGUGUUAAGCCACCUUGACCAUUGAUUUUACAGGAGAUUUUAGUGGAGUGUAACACCAGAUUCACUACAACGUUGGGGAAAUCAAUAAGACAAGUACUUUUUGUCCUUUGACAUUAAAGUUUGUGCUCAGUAAAUAAAAAAA